CUAAUACCGCAUAAGCGCACAGCUUCGCAUGAAGCAGUGUGAAAAACUCCGGUGGUACAAGAUGGACCCGCGUCUGAUUAGCUGGUUGGUGGGGUAACGGCCCACCAAGGCGACGAUCAGUAGCCGGCCUGAGAGGGUGAACGGCCACAUUGGGACUGAGACACGGCCCAAACUCCUACGGGAGGCAGCAGUGGGGAAUAUUGCACAAUGGGGGAAACCCUGAUGCAGCAACGCCGCGUGAGUGAAGAAGUAUUUCGGUAUGUAAAGCUCUAUCAGCAGGAAAGAAAAUGACGGUACCUGACUAAGAAGCCCCGGCUAACUACGUGCCAGCAGCCGCGGUAAUACGUAGGGGGCAAGCGUUAUCCGGAUUUACUGGGUGUAAAGGGAGCGUAGACGGUUUUGCAAGUCUGAAGUGAAAGCCCGGGGCUUAACCCCGGGACUGCUUUGGAAACUGUAGGACUAGAGUGCAGGAGAGGUAAGUGGAAUUCCUAGUGUAGCGGUGAAAUGCGUAGAUAUUAGGAGGAACACCAGUGGCGAAGGCGGCUUACUGGACUGUAACUGACGUUGAGGCUCGAAAGCGUGGGGAGCAAACAGGAUUAGAUACCCUGGUAGUCCACGCCGUAAAC
rnacentral:rRNA from 1 species